GCCCGCAUGGCUCAGGGGUAGAGCGCAUCACUAGUAGUACUAGGCUAUAUUCACAGUCUGCUAGACUGUUGGGUCUAGCUUGGUAGACAUGAUGAGGUCAUCAGUUCGAUUCUGAUUGUGGGCA